CCAUAGCUUAGUGGUAGAGCAUCUUCUUUGCAUGCAGAAGGUCCCAGGUUCAAACCCCAGCAACUCGA